rnacentral:rRNA from 1 species
CCUACGGGGGGCUGCAGUGGGGAAUAUUGCACAAUGGGCGCAAGCCUGAUGCAGCCAUGCCGCGUGUGUGAAGAAGGCCUUCGGGUUAUAAAGCACUUUCAGCGGGGAGGAAGGCGGUGAGGUUAAUAACCUCAUCGAUUGACGUUACCCGCAGAAGAAGCACCGGCUAACUCCGUGCCAGCAGCCGCGGUAAUACGGAGGGUGCAAGCGUUAAUCGGAAUUACUGGGCGUAAAGCGCACGCAGGCGGUCUGUCAAGUCGGAUGUGAAAUCCCCGGGCUCAACCUGGGAACUGCAUUCGAAACUGGCAGGCUAGAGUCUUGUAGAGGGGGGUAGAAUUCCAGGUGUAGCGGUGAAAUGCGUAGAGAUCUGGAGGAAUACCGGUGGCGAAGGCGGCCCCCUGGACAAAGACUGACGCUCAGGUGCGAAAGCGUGGGGAGCAAACAGGAUUAGAUACCCUUGUAGUC